AACUCAAAGAUAAAGAUCUUAAAGCAGUCAAUGUUGGACAGUUGAAGAAAUUGUUACAAACAAGUGUAGAAAAUCUAGACAAAGCUGGCAGAGCCAUCCAAAAUCUACUUCAAUAUGAUCAGCGAAAAAGGUUGCACAGCAGGAACAGGCAAGGAACACCACAACCAUACCGAGGCUACCCCCAGCAGGGCUAUGGAGGAUACCCCCAACAACAACCAUCCCCAUAUCAAGCAACCGGUCAAUGUUCCGGUCAAUGUAGCAACCUUUGUGCUCCGGCAUGCAGAGACCCAUGCUGUCGUUUCCCUCCAAGUUUGGGCGGAUAUAAUUC